CUACCAUGCAAGUCGAGCGGUAGAGAGAAGCUUGCUUCUCUUGAGAGCGGCGGACGGGUGAGUAAUGCCUAGGAAUCUGCCUGGUAGUGGGGGAUAACGUUCGGAAACGGACGCUAAUACCGCAUACGUCCUACGGGAGAAAGCAGGGGACCUUCGGGCCUUGCGCUAUCAGAUGAGCCUAGGUCGGAUUAGCUAGUUGGUGAGGUAAUGGCUCACCAAGGCGACGAUCCGUAACUGGUCUGAGAGGAUGAUCAGUCACACUGGAACUGAGACACGGUCCAGACUCCUACGGGAGGCAGCAGUGGGGAAUAUUGGACAAUGGGCGAAAGCCUGAUCCAGCCAUGCCGCGUGUGUGAAGAAGGUCUUCGGAUUGUAAAGCACUUUAAGUUGGGAGGAAGGGUUGUAGAUUAAUACUCUGCAAUUUUGACGUUACCGACAGAAUAAGCACCGGCUAACUCUGUGCCAGCAGCCGCGGUAAUACAGAGGGUGCAAGCGUUAAUCGGAAUUACUGGGCGUAAAGCGCGCGUAGGUGGUUUGUUAAGUUGGAUGUGAAAUCCCCGGGCUCAACCUGGGAACUGCAUUCAAAACUGACUGACUAGAGUAUGGUAGAGGGUGGUGGAAUUUCCUGUGUAGCGGUGAAAUGCGUAGAUAUAGGAAGGAACACCAGUGGCGAAGGCGACCACCUGGACUAAUACUGACACUGAGGUGCGAAAGCGUGGGGAGCAAACAGGAUUAGAUACCCUGGUAGUCCACGCCGUAAACGAUGUCAACUAGCCGUUGGAAGCCUUGAGCUUUUAGUGGCGCAGCUAACGCAUUAAGUUGACCGCCUGGGGAGUACGGCCGCAAGGUUAAAACUCAAAUGAAUUGACGGGGGCC
rnacentral:rRNA from 2 species